rnacentral:rRNA from 1 species
UACGGAGGGGGCUAGCGUUGUUCGGAAUUACUGGGCGUAAAGCGCACGUAGGCGGCUUUGUAAGUUAGAGGUGAAAGCCCAGGGCUCAACCCUGGAAUUGCCUUUAAGACUGCAUCGCUUGAACAUCGGAGAGGUAAGUGGAAUUCCGAGUGUAGAGGUGAAAUUCGUAGAUAUUCGGAAGAACACCAGUGGCGAAGGCGGCGACCUGGACAAGUACUGACACUCAACUACGAAAGCGUGGGGAGCAAACAGG